CUAUCACUCCUACGGGAGGCAGCAGUGGGGAAUAUUGCACAAUGGGCGCAAGCCUGAUGCAGCCAUGCCGCGUGUAUGAAGAAGGCCUUCGGGUUGUAAAGUACUUUCAGCAGUGAGGAAGGUGGAGUCGUUAAUAGCGGCCUCAUUUGACGUUAGCUGCAGAAGAAGCACCGGCUAACUCCGUGCCAGCAGCCGCGGUAAUACGGAGGAUCCAAGCGUUAUCCGGAAUCAUUGGGUUUAAAGGGUCCGUAGGCGGUUUUAUAAGUCAGUGGUGAAAUCCGGCAGCUCAACUGUCGAACUGCCAUUGAUACUGUAGAACUUGAAUUAUUGUGAAGUAACUAGAAUAUGUAGUGUAGCGGUGAAAUGCUUAGAGAUUACAUGGAAUACCAAUUGCGAAGGCAGGUUACUAACAAUAUAUUGACGCUGAUGGACGAAAGCGUGGGUAGCGAACAGGAUUAGAUACCCUGGUAG
rnacentral:rRNA from 1 species